UUGCAUGGUUGGUGAGGGGCAACUAGUGUGAACUGAAUACCAGUCAGGCAGUAGGAUACUCGCUCUGAAAUCAAUUGGAGAUUUAAGGAGAAAAAAAUUCAGUCCUUUGCCACAAAUAGUUUCCGAAGCAUUGCUCUAAACCAUUAUAUUGCCUUCCCGGAGUGAAAACAAAGAAAUCAAUGUAGCCGAGUAAGAUGCUAAGAAAUAGGAAGAUGCAGCGUUAUGAAGCUCAGCUCCAGAAACAGCUUUGUUGCUCACAAACUCGGUCAUUAAUGGAGGAAAGAGUCUCGUCUUGGAGAUGGUGGAGAGGAAGCUGAAAGGAUCAGAAUCCCUGGGGACUUUGCAGACUAACCACAGCAAAACCAGUGUUGGCUGCCUGCUGGACGACUGGCACAUGAAGAAGAAAUAAACUUCUGUUUCAAAUAA